CUGCUUAUUUUAUGUGCUAAAAUUGUGUACCUACCUGGUAUACCUAGCUGAUUGUAUUUUAAGUGAUCAUCUCUUAGAUUUCUUUUUUUUCUCAAAGUAUUAACAAAUCAUGUUAAUCCCCCUUUUAGUUUUUUUUUGUUUUGUUUUGUUUUUGAGACAGGUUCUCUGUCGCCUAGGCUGGAGGGCAGUGGCACGAUCAUGGCUUACUGCAGCCUCAACCUCCCAGGCUCAGAGAUGGGCUCUCGCUAUAUUGCCUGGGCUAGUCUUGAACUCCUGGCUUCAAGCAAUCCUCCCACCUCAACCUCACAAAGUGCUAGGAUUACAGGCGUGAGCCACCGUGCCCAGCCUGUAGAUACUUUGUAUUGUUUCACUCUUGGAUGUGUUCUGAUCUUUUCCCCUCAAAAACAGUAGAAUUAUUAAGUAUGUUCUUUGAUUUUUGAAUAAACCAGAUGUGAUUCCAGA